GUCAGGCUGACAAGUCCCAAACAGGAUGAAACGCGCGUCUUGAC
rnacentral:hammerhead_ribozyme from 1 species